ensembl:lincRNA Gm43998 predicted gene, 43998
GCCCUUUCGUCUGCGCAAAAAGCAUGCAAGAGAUUCGAGGAUGCCUGUUCAGAAGAACGAACAGGCAGAAGAAAGACCUAAAAGGGAAAGAACUGCAUUGGGAAGUAUUCUGAUGUAACAAGGAAGAUUCGGCUUUAAGCAGAUUUUGGAAGCCCAGAGAUCACUAGGCAUGUACUUUGAAUGCAUAUGCCAUGUCCCAACAUAAAUAGAUUUUUCAACAUUAACAGAAGUAUCUCAGAAGAACCACUUUGCUAAAUAUGAAAUGCAAGCUCAAGACAGGAACCUAGCAUAACUGUCCUCUGAGAGCUCCACCCAGCAGACGAUGGAAAGAGAUGCAGAGACUCACACCUAAGCAUUACAUGGAACUCAGGAGUCUAGUGGAAGAGUUGAGAGUAAGAUUGACGGACCCGAAGAAGACAGGAACUCCACAGGAAGAUCAACAGAGUCAACUAACCUUGACCCUUGGGGGCUCCUAGAGACUGAAUCACCAACCACAGAACAAACAUGGACUGGACCUAGGCCCCCUACACAUACGCAGCAGAUGAACAGCUUGGUUUUCAUGCCAGUACCCCAAUAAGUGGAGCAGGGGUUGUCCCUGAGCCUGUUGGCCUGCCUGCCUGUGGGUCCCAAACCCCUAAAUGAACAACCUUGUCUGGCUUCAAUGGGAGAGUAUGUGCCCACUCCUGCAGCAGCAGCAAUUUAAUGUGUGAGUGGGUUGGGUGUUAGGUACUGGAGGUGACACCCAGAGGGGGGUUUCCCUAUCUCAAAAGAGAAAGGGAAAGUGGAAUGGGGGUGGGGAAGAAUUGUGGGAGGGGGUACUGGGAUGAGAGGAAGGGCUGAUACUGGGUUGUAAAGUGAAUAAAUAGAUUUCGAAU